GUUCAGCAAAUGCGCUUCUUUAGUAAGGCAGUACAAAGAUGCCGUGUCAGACUGACCUCCACAAUACUGGAAGGAAAAAAUGUGAGCCUGCAUCAUGAAUUAACUUAGAAUGUCAUGCACUGGAUCAGACAUUACCCUGAUGAUGUGACAAAUGCCUUUGCCAUGGUUUCUUAUGCAUUUGCACCCCCCCACCAGGCCUCCUGUUUUCCAGAAGCACCUUCAAUACGUCAGUGCUUCUAUACCUGUCCCCAAAUGGAAACAUCAUUGUUUAGGAAAUGCAACAAAAAUGAAGAAAGGACUGUUACAUAUUUCUGCAAAAACAAACCAGUUGCUCAGUGGAUUCCCUUUUCCCUCAAGACCUAUAAAGAGCUGGAGAUCCAACAUGAAUUUAAUGUGCUUAUGGACUGAGUGAAGUGAGUGCACACUGCCUGUGCUGUCCGUGCCAGCUAAGCUCCUGCAGUCUCAGCUAGUAGCUGGAGGCAAGUCAACUCAGGAUCCUGGAGGCUGAAGAUACAAGCCAAAGAUCUGUGGUCAAGUGCUUGGCAGCACAACUGUGCCCUACUUUGCUGUAGCCUCCUCCUGGGGACGCAAGGACAUGGAAGACUGGAUGUCUCUUUGGAAGAUGCAGCUGAAAAUCGUUAGCUGUCCUGACUGAUGGGUUCUCCUCCAGCACUCAGCUCA